UUGGCAGUCCUGGAAACUGUAGCCCUCUAUUUAUCCACAGUCUAAUUUCAAUGCAGGCAGUUGGAGUGGAAGCUUCCCUACACUGGCCUGCCAGUGCUUUCAACCCUGACCUAAAGAGACCCUCUCGAGGAACAAGAAAUAAUUCAUUCUUUAUGCGAGCUUGGCCCUAGACCUUU
rnacentral:sRNA from 1 species